rnacentral:miRNA from 1 species
AAUGUACAGGGGAGACUCUUAU